UACGUAGGGGGGCGAGCGCUGUCCGGAUUUAUUGGGCGUAAAGAGCGUGUAGGCGGCCAGGUAGGUCUGCUGUGAAAACCUAAGGCUCAACCUUGGGCUUGCAGUGGGUACGGGCAGACUAGAGUGCGGUAGGGGGUGACUGGAAUUCCUGGUGUAGCGGUGGAAUGCGCAGAUAUCAGGAGGAACACCGAUGGCGAAGGCAGGUCACUGGGCCGCAACUGACGCUGAGGAGCGAAAGCGUGGGGGAGCAAACAGG
rnacentral:rRNA from 1 species